rnacentral:rRNA from 1 species
AGAGUUUGAUCCUGGCUCAGGACGAACGCUGGCGGCGUGCUUAACACAUGCAAGUCGAACGAUGAAAGCGGGAGCUUGCUCCUGCUGGAUUAGUGGCGAACGGGUGAGUAACACGUGAGCAAUCUGCCCCUGACUCUGGGAUAAGCGUUGGAAACGACGUCUAAUACCGGAUACGAGAUGAGACCGCAUGGUCAUCAUCUGGAAAGAACUUCGGUCAGGGAUGAGCUCGCGGCCUAUCAGCUUGUUGGUGAGGUAAUGGCUCACCAAGGCGACGACGGGUAGCCGGCCUGAGAGGGUGACCGGCCACACUGGGACUGAGACACGGCCCAGACUCCUACGGGAGGCAGCAGUGGGGAAUAUUGCACAAUGGGCGCAAGCCUGAUGCAGCAACGCCGCGUGAGGGAUGAAGGCCUUCGGGUUGUAAACCUCUUUUAGCAGGGAAGAAGCGAAAGUGACGGUACCUGCAGAAAAAGCGCCGGCUAACUACGUGCCAGCAGCCGCGGUAAU